AGAGUUUGAUCCUGGCUCAGGAUGAACGCUAGCGGCAGGCUUAAUACAUGCAAGUCGAGGGGCAGCAUGACUGUAGCAAUACAGUUGAUGGCGACCGGCAAACGGGUGCGGAACACGUACAGAACCUUCCUUCGAGCGGGGAAUAGCCCAGAGAAAUUUGGAUUAAUACCCCAUAGUAUUACGGAGUGGCAUCACAUUGUAAUUAAAGAUUUAUCACUUGAAGAUGGCUGUGCGGCUGAUUAGGUAGUUGGCGGGGUAACGGCCCACCAAGCCUGCGAUCAGUAACUGGUGUGAGAGCACGACCAGUCACACGGGCACUGAGACACGGGCCCGACUCCUACGGGAGGCAGCAGUAAGGAAUAUUGGUCAAUGGACGCAAGUCUGAACCAGCCAUGCCGCGUGGAGGAUGAAGGUCCUCUGGAUUGUAAACUUCUUUUAUAUGGGACGAAAAAGGGCCUUUCUAGGUCAACUGACGGUACCAUGUGAAUAAGCACCGGCUAACUCCGUGCCAGCAGCCGCGGUAAUACGGAGGGUGCAAGCGUUAUCCGGAUUCACUGGGUUUAAAGGGUGCGUAGGUGGGUUGGUAAGUCAGUGGUGAAAUCCCCGAGCUUAACUUGGGAACUGCCAUUGAUACUAUCAGUCUUGAAUACCGUGGAGGUCAGCGGAAUAUGUCAUGUAGCGGUGAAAUGCUUAGAUAUGACAUAGAACACCAAUUGCGAAGGCAGCUGGCUACACGAAUAUUGACACUGAGGCACGAAAGCGUGGGGAUCAAACAGGAUUAGAUACCCUGGUAGUCCACG
rnacentral:rRNA from 1 species